GACGAACGCUGGCGGCGUGCCUAAUACAUGCAAGUAGGACGCAGUUGCGAACGGGUGAGUAACGCGUAGGUAACUGCCUCUUAGAGGGGGAUAACUAUUGUAAACGAUAGCUAAUACCGCAUACUAGUAGAUGGACCUGCUUUGUAUUAGCUAGUAUGUAGGGGAAUGGCCUAACUAGCAAACGAUACAUAACAGAACUGAGAGGGUGAUCGGCCACAAUGGGACUGAGACACGGCCCAGACUUCGACGGGAGGCAGCAGUAGGGAAUCUUCGGCAAUGGGGGGAACCCUGACCGAGCAACGCCGCGUGAGUGAAGAAGGUUUUCGGAUCGUAAAGCUCUGUUGUUUAGGAAGCGGUACUUAACCAGAAAGGGACGGCUAACUACGUGCCAGCAGCCGCGGUAAUAC
rnacentral:rRNA from 1 species